AAUUUUACCUAUAAUCAGCCAAUUAUUCCAUAAUUUUUCAAAGAUUCCCAAAGAUUUCCAAUAUUAUUCUUUUUGUUCUCUUUUUCUUUCGAUAAAUGUCGAAAUAUGUAUCUUGAUUCGAGUUGAAUCGAAGAUUGAUCGAUCGAUCAUUAUCAUAAAUUCGAUUUAAUUCACUCUUCUCUUUCAUUCUUUCGAUUUAUCGAAGCGAAUUGCAACCAUCUUCAUUGCAAGAUGUAUUGCGAUCAAAAUAGUCGAAUCUUCUCUUAUUAUUUAUUCUUUCAAUUAUUUUAUCAUUUUUAAUAAUCAUCGCAAUUAACGUGUAUACGUAUAAACUACUACUGUGCGUGCAAUUUAGUCUAAACACACGAAACACGCAAAAUAUUCGCAAUUUCUGAUAGCUAUAAAAGAAAACGUUUUAGCUUGAUAUCGAUAAUAAUAUAUUCGUGGUGAAGAGAGAAUCAUUCAAGGAAUUGAGAUGAUUGAAAACGCUAAAUAUGAACGAGAACUCGAUAUCUCUCUCGUCGAAUCUGUUCUCAAAAAGAUUUGAAGCAGUUGUAAAUAGUUGUUAACCCUGUUUGGAAACAAACUGUCCACGAUUCUGUAGUAUUCAAUGGAUUGAACUAUUUAUACGACCUGGAUUUAUCCUAAAACAGAAUCGGUUCAAUAGAAUUCAAUGUUUUUUUUGAAGUCAUUACGUUUAACCAAUAAUAACCAAUAUAUUACCUGAACAAGAAAUAUCUUGGAUUAAACAGAUCGUACGAUGAUGAUGUUCUGUGUGUAUGUAUGUGAAAAUUAUGUUAUUGAUUUCUUUUAAUCUAUUUUCUUUUUUUUUUAUACAUAUAUUAUUUAUUCUUGAUUUGUAUGUGAAUUCACGAACUAAUUCUAAGUUUUUAGUUCAAACAAUAAGUGCCUACUUAUCAACAUAUAAACACAAUACAAACGGGAUGUAAUUUUUGAAUAUUUAAAUUACUAUUGAGACGAUAAGAAAAUGUGUUAAUGCAAUCUGGUAUUAAUCAGGCGUUGUAUUAUUAGAUGGACGAUAACCUUAAAUCGUCGAGAGAGAAUUGAAUGUGCGAAUGAAGUUAAAAGUUUUGCUUCGAAAGACGACAGACGGCGUAGCAAUCGCAUCGUGUUUUUUCUGGAAUCCCUUCUACUAUUGAGAGUAUAACAAAAUCUAGAAACUGGUAACUAUUGUUACUAUUUAUCCAUGAUCAUUGUAGAAUGAAAUUAGGCAUUUCUAUUAUUCUUCUAUUUUAUCUCUUUAUAUUUUCAACUUCAUGCUUUCUUAUUCUAUUCUCUUCUAUUUUCUUCCUGAAUAGAUUUAUUCGCCGUCACUUUUCGAUUCUUUAUCGAACGUUCGAAGUCUCGACUGGCCAGGAAUAAUUAGCCCUGUUUCGAAUCGCUUAAUUUACCUUGAAAAAGCACAAGGCACGUUCAAAGAAUAGCCCGCUGGGGGAAAGUAGGUCGUGGAGAAAAAAGACAGCCUCUCUUGCCGAGUGCCGGCUGGGAAAACCGACGACGCAAGUUCACGGUCGUGUCCCGGCUACGUGGAACUAGGCUGGUGUUGCUCUCGCCUUCCUCCCUUCUGCCGUUUUUCAGUGCACGAGGACGGAAUCGGGGAUGCGUGCACCACGUCUAAAUUUUGCACUUUUGCACUCUGUACACGCAAAUUAAAACCUAUUAUCUUUUUUCUUUUUAAAGGAUUUGAAAUUUGCCUGAAAGUUGGAACAAAAUUAUCGAAAGUAAUGACGAAUAUCACGAAGGAUGAAAAUCAUAUGAAAGAUCAUCGUAUGCGCCAAAUUUUUUGUUUUUACAACUUAAAAAAAAAAAAAAAAAAAA
rnacentral:lncRNA from 1 species